rnacentral:rRNA from 1 species
CUACGUGCCAGCAGCCGCGGUAAUACGUAGGUGGCAAGCGUUGUCCGGAAUUAUUGGGCGUAAAGCGCGCGCAGGCGGAUCAGUCAGUCUGUCUUAAAAGUUCGGGGCUUAACCCCGUGAUGGGAUGGAAACUACUGAUCUAGAGUAUCGGAGAGGAAAGUGGAAUUCCUAGUGUAGCGGUGAAAUGCGUAGAUAUUAGGAAGAACACCAGUGGCGAAGGCGACUUUCUGGACGAAAACUGACGCUGAGGCGCGAAAGCCAGGGGAGCGAACGGGAUUAGAUACCCCGGUAGUCCUGGCCGUAAACGAUGGGUACUAGGUGUAGGAGGUAUCGACCCCUUCUGUGCCGGAGUUAACGCAAUAAGUACCCCGCCUGGGGAGUACGACCGCAAGGUUGAAACUCAAAGGAAUUGACGGGGGCCCGCACAAGCGGUGGAGUAUGUGGUUUAAUUCGACGCAACGCGAAGAACCUUACCAGGUCU